AACCCUCGAUGUUCUUCCACUCCGUGCUCCGCACUUGUGUAGUUUCUAAUGAUUCUUCUGUGUAGCUCUUAACAUUCUUCCACUCUGUGCUCCACACUCACAUAGUCUCUAACAAUUCUUCCAUGUAGCUCCUUAUGUUCUCCCACUCUGUGUUCCACACUCAUAUAGUCUCUAACAAUUCUUCUGUGUAGCUCUCAAUGAUUCCUCCACCCCACAUUCCACACUUGUGUAGCUUCUAAUGAUUCUUAUGUGUACCUCUUAAUGUUCUUCCACUCCAUACUCCACUGUGGAGCAGCUUCUGAUAUUCUUCCACUCUGAACUUUCCUCUAUAAGAACCCUCUUCAUAUGACCUUUUCUUCUGAUUUCUUUUCUCUUUCUUUUCUUAAUCAAUUUGUAAUCUGUAAUUAGGAUAGUACC
rnacentral:sRNA from 1 species